ACAGUGGUGGUUCAGUGGUAGAAUUCUUCCCUUCUGUGCAGAAGACCCAGGUUCAAUUCCUAGCCAAUGCA
rnacentral:tRNA from 1 species